rnacentral:misc_RNA from 1 species
CAAUGAUGCCAGGGUUUAAUCCGUAUCAGUCUGGUGGUCAAUCUGGUUUGCCUCCACCACUGCCACCAGGUCCUUCAACACAUUCCCAAACACCUCAGUAGACCAUUGAUUCUUCUCUGAGCGGCUGCUGCUUAGGAGUGGGAGGAAACUACAAUCUGUACUGGUUUGCAUGUGUUAAAGCUAACUUGUGUCCAUUUUUAAUACUUUAGGAUGAUUCUUUUUGCCCUUUUUCUGUGGCCAGUGUAUAAUUUAGCCGUUAAAUGCUUUCGGAUAUUUGAUAACUUUAGUCGAGUAGAAAAU